UGCCGCCAGUCCUGCCAUGCCCACUUUAAAUCCUCCCUCUGGUGGGGGCUUCAGCUUUGGUCAGACCCCUUCUUUUAACAUUGGGUCAGGAAAGAGUUUCAACGCAACACCAUCUGGGCAGACUUCAGUCACUGGACGUAAAAUCAAAACUGCUGUUCGACGCAGGAAGUAAAUGUUGGAAAGGAUUUGUUUUGGUUUGGACGUAGACUGUUGGGACAAACACUGAAGUACUUAGUAUUUUGAGCAUGGCACUGAUUUACUCGUAGUGCCAAGAGAUUUGUUUUUUGCUAUGGAGGUCAUUGAUAAACUGAAUGGGGAACACUGGCCCACACAAAGAACCUAACCAAGACUUAAGGAUGCAAAAUAACACAUUACAAUCAAGCAAGAACCUUUUAAACAGGACAGUAAAUCUUUGCAGCAUCUGCAUUGUGUGCAGGAUUUUUUUUUUUUUGGUAAGUAAA